rnacentral:misc_RNA from 1 species
CAUUUUGGUUUUUUUUUUUUCCCUCCCGGUUUAUUUGACGACCCCGGUGUCGUCGCGUCGCGCCACAAGCCGCUCAAACGCCUUCGGCAUUAGGCCGCGGUGUCGGGCUCGGAACGAGCUUUCCGAAACGUGCUCACGGGCCCCGUGAGUCCAUCGGCGUCGAAAGUUGGGCACGUGAAAGCGGAGACGCGCGGAUUCCGUCAGUCGAGAAAUUCACUUUUCCUCGUACUUCGUCGUGCGUAAGUAGCAAUGCCGUUAGUUGAUCGAGAAUUGCGCGACGAGUCCUUGAGUCUCGAGAAGAGAAAGCGAUUCGCUUCAAGUAAAGGCGCAAUGCCCAACAUGAC